rnacentral:sRNA from 1 species
UUUCCGUAGGUGAACCUGCGGAAGGAUCAUUGUCGAGACCGAAAAAUAUAAAUCGAGUGAUUUAGAGAACACGUGAAUCGAGUGAUGGCUGUCGCCGUCGCGGGAUGACCGGCCUGGCCGUCACCGUCGCCUCCUCUACGGGGAGAGCGGGGGUACGAUCGUGGACGGAUAAAAACACAAAUCGGCGCAGCAUUGCGCCAAGGAAAAAUUGGAAGGGACGAGCUCGGUGAAGGGCUCGGUGGCGUGGGGUGUUGCGGCACGCCACGCGGUUGGACACGACUCUCGGCAAUGGAUAUCUCGGCUCUCGCAUCGAUGAAGACGCAGCGAAAUGCGAUACGUGGUGCGAAUUGCAGAAUCCCGCGAACCAUCGAGUCUUUGAACGCAAGUUGCGCCCGAGGCCAGCAGGCCAAGGGCACGUCCGCCUGGGCGUCAAGCAUUGCGUCGCUCCGUGCCAGCUCCGACACAACUUUUUGUGUGUUGUUCGAGGCUCGGAAGUGUAGAGUGGCUCAUCGUGCUUAUCGGCGCGGCGAGCUGAAGACAGGGUGACGUCUCGUUGGCCGCGAACAACAAGGGGUGGGUGAAAGCUGUGAGCGCAGCCUGCGUUGUCUCGUGUUGGCUCAAGAGACGGAUUGUGCCUUCAAGGUGAUCCUGACCCACGCGUCGAUCCCCAUGCGGGCGGCGGCUUGGAAUGCGACCCCAGGAUGGGCGAGGCCACCCGCUGAGUUUAA